GAUGAACGCUGGCGGCGUGCCUAAUACAUGCAAGUCGAGCGAACGGACGAGAAGCUUGCUUCUCUGAUGUUAGCGGCGGACGGGUGAGUAACACGUGGAUAACCUACCUAUAAGACUGGGAUAACUUCGGGAAACCGGAGCUAAUACCGGAUGAUAUUUUGAACCGCAUGGUUCAAAAGUGAAAGACGGUCUUGCUGUCACUUAUAGAUGGAUCCGCGCUGCAUUGGCUAGUUGGUAAGGUAACGGCUUACCAAGGCAACGAUGCAUAGCCGACCUGAGAGGGUCAUCGGCCACACUGGACGUGAGACGGGGUCGCGACUCCUACGGGAGGCAGCAGUAGGGAAUCUUCCGCAAUGGGCGAGGGCGUGAGGGAGCAACACCGCGUGAGUGAUGAAGGUCUUAGGAUCGUAAAACGCUGUUGUUAGGGAAGAACAUAUGUGUAAGUAACUGUGAACAUAUUGACGGUACCUAAUCAGAAAGCCACGGCUAACUACGUG
rnacentral:rRNA from 1 species